GUACCUGGAUAGCUCAGUUGGUUAGGGUGUGGUGCUGAUAAUACCAAGUGUUUCAGGUUCAAUCCCUAUAUGGGACA